rnacentral:rRNA from 1 species
UACAGAGGUCUCAAGCGUUGUUCGGAUUCAUUGGGCGUAAAGGGUGCGUAGGCGGCGCGGUAAGUCGGGUGUGAAAUCUUGGAGCUUAACUCCGAAACUGCAUUCGAUACUGCCGUGCUUGAGGACUGGAGAGGAGACUGGAAUUUACGGUGUAGCAGUGAAAUGCGUAGAUAUCGUAAGGAAGACCAGUGGCGAAGGCGGGUCUCUGGACAGUUCCUGACACUGAGGCACGAAGGCCAGGGGAGCAAACGGG